rnacentral:misc_RNA from 1 species
CAGCCAUCUUGUCCAAAAUAAAUAUGUAAAUUAGCUUCUCAUAUCAAUCAAAUCUACCUUGUCUACCAAAUGAAUAUGCUCAACCUCUUUUCCUCCUUCCUCUUCAUCUUCUUCUUCCUACAAAUCGUAGAUACCCAAAAUUUUUGCCUCAACGCUGCUUGUGCUCGCAACGAGCCAGUCAUCCGAUUCCCUUUUCGGCUCCAAAAUCGCCAAUUCAAGUCAUGUGGGUAUCCAGGUUUCGACUUAUCCUGUGAUGCUAGCACCAACCGGACACUACUUGAGCUUCCUUUUUCAGGGAAAUUCAGCGUCGAAGCGAUAGACUAUGUUACCCAAGAAUUAUGGAUUAACGAUUUCAACGAUUGUCUCCCGGAGCGAAUUCUCUCUCUUAAUCUCUCCAGCUCUCCCUUCGCCGGCAUUUUUUAUCAAAACUUCACCUUCUUUAAUUGUUCUUUGGCCGAUUACACCAAGUAUCGGCUGAAUCCGAUUGCUUGCCUGAGUGGCUCGACUUAUACAGUUUUUGCGACGUCGUCUUUAAGCGUUAUUAGUCUUUUGUCUCAACCAUCAUCAUCCUGUAGGUCAUUUGCAACUAAGGAGGUUCCAGUGGAGUGGCCAUUUUACGGGCAGAUACUGUCCUCGGACCUCAGUGAUGAUCUCCGUCUCACUUGGGGUGCCCCCGCGUGUGGAAAGUGCGAGUCUCGUGGUGGACGUUGCGGUCCCAAGAGUAAUUCUACGCCUGAAAUUGUUUGCUCUAAUCCUACUACACACGGAAUUCCAAGAAGCGCACGUUACAUCAUGGUGAUAGGCGCUGGAGUACCAAUAGCGUUGUGUGUGCUUGGUAUAUUAUGUUUCCUCUGCAGCAGGCUCAGGCACUGCGCUAGAAGAAGGAGCCACCCUCUUCCAGAAUUUGCUUUCAUAGUUAAUCCACAACCCACAGUCAGUGCAGGCCUGGAUGGACCCACCAUAGAAUCCUAUCCCAAAAUAGUCCUUGGAGAGAGCCGACGCUUGCCCAAGCCUGAGGACAACAUUUGCUCAAUAUGCUUGUCAGAGUACAAACCUAAGGAGACGCUUAAGACUAUUCCUGAAUGCCAGCAUUGCUUCCAUGUUGAUUGCAUUGAUGAAUGGCUUCGAUUGAAUGCUACCUGUCCCAUUUGCCGGAACUCGCCUCAGCGGUUGCCGCCACCUCUUCCUUCUUGAUGAAUUCAUUGCGUUGCAAACU